rnacentral:rRNA from 1 species
AUUGAACGCUGGCGGCAGGCUUAACACAUGCAAGUCGAGCGAGCGGCGGACGGGUGAGUUAUGUCUGGGAAACUGCCUGAUGGAGGGGGUUAGCUACUGGAAACGGUAGCUAAUACCGCAUACCAUCAGAUGUGCCCAGAUGGGAUGAGCGAGUGGGUGGGGUAAUGCCUCACCAAGGCGACGAUCCCUAGCUGGUCUGAGAGGAUGACCAGUCACACUGGAACUGAGACACGGUCCAGACUCCUACGGGAGGCAGCAGUGGGGAAUAUUGGACAAUGGGCGAAAGCCUGAUGCAGCCAUGCCGCGUGUGUGAAGAAGGCCUUCGGAUUGUAAAGCACUUUCAGCGAGGAGGCGUUACUCGCAGAAGAAGCACCGGCUAACUCCGUGCCAGCAGCCGCGGUAAUUC